rnacentral:rRNA from 1 species
ACUCAAAUGAAUUGACGGGGGCUCACACAAGCGGUGGAGCAUGUGGCUUAAUUCGAGGCUACGCGAAGAACCUUAUCCUGGACUUGACAUGUGCGAAAGCGCUCGGAAGUAGGCGGCGGAAACGUCUGCCCAACGGUAUCCAAUCCGGAACCGAGCACAGGUGCUGCAUGGCUGUCGUCAGCUCGUGUCGUGAGAUGUUGGGUUAAGUCCCGUAACGAGCGAAACCCUUGUCUCCAGUUGCCAGCGGGUCAUGCCGGGGACUCUGGAGAGACUGCCGGUGUUAAACCGGAGGAAGGCGGGGAUGACGUCAAGUCCUCAUGGCCUUUAUGUCCAGGGCUGCACACGUGCUACAAUGGCGUGUACAAAGGGAUGCCAACCCGCGAGGGGGAGCCAAUCCCAAAAAACACGCCCCAGUUCAGAUCGCAGGCUGCAACUCGCCUGCGUGAAGUUGGAAUCGCUAGUAAUCGCAGGUCAGCAACACUGCGGUGAAUGUGUUCCUGAGCCUUGCACACACCGCCCGU